rnacentral:rRNA from 1 species
UACGUAGGGUGAGAGCGUUGUCCGGAAUUAUUGGGCGGAAAGAGCUUGUAGGCGGUUUGUCGCGUCUGCCGUGAAAAUUCGAGGCUCAACCUCGAACUUGCGGUGGGUACGGGCAGACUAGAGUGUGGUAGGGGAGACUGGAAUUCCUGGUGUAGCGGUGAAAUGCGCAGAUAUCAGGAGGAACACCGAUGGCGAAGGCAGGUCUCUGGGCCACUACUGACGCUGAGAAGCGAAAGCAUGGGGAGCGAACAGG